GGUUAAGCGACUAAGCGUACACGGUGGAUGCCCUGGCAGUCAGAGGCGAUGAAGGACGUGCUAAUCUGCGAAAAGCGUCGGUAAGGUGAUAUGAACCGUUAUAACCGGCGAUGUCCGAAUGGGGAAACCCAGUGCAAUUCGUUGCACUAUCGUUAACUGAAUACAUAGGUUAACGAGGCGAACCGGGGGAACUGAAACAUCUAAGUACCCCGAGGAAAAGAAAUCAACCGAGAUUCCCCCAGUAGCGGCGAGCGAACGGGGAGCAGCCCAGAGUCUGAAUCAGCUUGUGUGUUAGUGGAACGGUCUGGAAAGUCCGACGGUACAGGGUGAUAGUCCCGUACACCAAAAUGCACAGGUUGUGAACUCGAAGAGUAGGGCGGGACACGUGGUAUCCUGUCUGAAUAUGGGGGGACCAUCCUCCAAGGCUAAAUACUCCUGACUGACCGAUAGUGAACCAGUACCGUGAGGGAAAGGCGAAAAGAACCCCGGCGAGGGGAGUGAAAAAGAACCUGAAACCGUGUACGUACAAGCAGUGGGAGCACCUUCGGGUGUGACUGCGUACCUUUUGUAUAAUGGGUCAGCGACUUAUAUUCUGUAGCAAGGUUAACCGUAUAGGGGAGCCGCAGGGAAACCGAGUCUUAACUGGGCGUUAAGUUGCAGGGUAUAGACCCGAAACCCGGUGAUCUAGCCAUGGGCAGGUUGAAGGUUGGGUAACACUAACUGGAGGACCGAACCGACUAAUGUUGAAAAAUUAGCGGAUGACUUGUGGCUGGGGGUGAAAGGCCAAUCAAACCGGGAGAUAGCUGGUUCUCCCCGAAAGCUAUUUAGGUAGCGCCUCGUGAAUUCAUCUUCGGGGGUAGAGCACUGUUUCGGCUAGGGGGUCAUCCCGACUUACCAACCCGAUGCAAACUACGAAUACCGAAGAAUGUUAUCACGGGAGACACACGGCGGGUGCUAACGUCCGUCGUGAAGAGGGAAACAACCCAGACCGCCAGCUAAGGUCCCAAAGUCAUGGUUAAGUGGGAAACGAUGUGGGAAGGCACAGACAGCCAGGAUGUUGGCUUAGAAGCAGCCAUCAUUUAAAGAAAGCGUAAUAGCUCACUGGUCGAGUCGGCCUGCGCGGAAGAUGUAACGGGGCUAAACCAUGCACCGAAGCUGCGGCAGCGACACUAUGUGUUGUUGGGUAGGGGAGCGUUCUGUAAGCCUGCGAAGGUGUGCUGUGAGGCAUGCUGGAGGUAUCAGAAGUGCGAAUGCUGACAUAAGUAACGAUAAAGCGGGUGAAAAGCCCGCUCGCCGGAAGACCAAGGGUUCCUGUCCAACGUUAAUCGGGGCAGGGUGAGUCGACCCCUAAGGCGAGGCCGAAAGGCGUAGUCGAUGGGAAACAGGUUAAUAUUCCUGUACUUGGUGUUACUGCGAAGGGGGGACGGAGAAGGCUAUGUUAGCCGGGCGACGGUUGUCCCGGUUUAAGCAUGUAGGCUGAUUAUCCAGGCAAAUCCGGAUAAUCAAGGCUGAGGUGUGAUGACGAGGCACUACGGUGCUGAAGUAACAAAUGCCCUGCUUCCAGGAAAAGCCUCUAAGCAUCAGGUAACAUCAAAUCGUACCCCAAACCGACACAGGUGGUCAGGUAGAGAAUACCAAGGCGCUUGAGAGAACUCGGGUGAAGGAACUAGGCAAAAUGGUGCCGUAACUUCGGGAGAAGGCACGCUGGUGUGUAGGUGAAGCCGCUGCGGGUGGAGCUGAGACCAGUCGAAGAUACCAGCUGGCUGCAACUGUUUAUUAAAAACACAGCACUGUGCAAACACGAAAGUGGACGUAUACGGUGUGACGCCUGCCCGGUGCCGGAAGGUUAAUUGAUGGGGUUAUCCGUAAGGAGAAGCUCUUGAUCGAAGCCCCGGUAAACGGCGGCCGUAACUAUAACGGUCCUAAGGUAGCGAAAUUCCUUGUCGGGUAAGUUCCGACCUGCACGAAUGGCGUAAUGAUGGCCAGGCUGUCUCCACCCGAGACUCAGUGAAAUUGAACUCGCUGUGAAGAUGCAGUGUACCCGCGGCAAGACGGAAAGACCCCGUGAACCUUUACUAUAGCUUGACACUGAACAUUGAGCCUUGAUGUGUAGGAUAGGUGGGAGGCUUUGAAGCGUGGACGCCAGUCUGCGUGGAGCCAACCUUGAAAUACCACCCUUUAAUGUUUGAUGUUCUAACGUUGGCCCCUUACCGGGGUUGCGGACAGUGUCUGGUGGGUAGUUUGACUGGGGCGGUCUCCUCCUAAAGCGUAACGGAGGAGCACGAAGGUUAGCUAAUCCUGGUCGGACAUCAGGAGGUUAGUGCAAUGGCAUAAGCUAGCUUGACUGCGAGCGUGACGGCGCGAGCAGGUGCGAAAGCAGGUCAUAGUGAUCCGGUGGUUCUGAAUGGAAGGGCCAUCGCUCAACGGAUAAAAGGUACUCCGGGGAUAACAGGCUGAUACCGCCCAAGAGUUCAUAUCGACGGCGGUGUUUGGCACCUCGAUGUCGGCUCAUCACAUCCUGGGGCUGAAGUAGGUCCCAAGGGUAUGGCUGUUCGCCAUUUAAAGUGGUACGCGAGCUGGGUUUAGAACGUCGUGAGACAGUUCGGUCCCUAUCUGCCGUGGGCGCUGGAGAAUUGAGGGGGGCUGCUCCUAGUACGAGAGGACCGGAGUGGACGCAUCACUGGUGUUCGGGUUGUCAUGCCAAUGGCACUGCCCGGUAGCUAAAUGCGGAAGAGAUAAGUGCUGAAAGCAUCUAAGCACGAAACUUGCCCCGAGAUGAGUUCUCCCUGAGACUUUAAGUCUCCUGAAGGAACGUUGAAGACGACGACGUUGAUAGGCCGGGUGUGUAAGCGCAGCGAUGCGUUGAGCUAACCGGUACUAAUGAACCGUGAGGCUUAACCUUAC
rnacentral:rRNA from 1 species